rnacentral:lncRNA from 1 species
UCAUACAAAUACUUUUCCAAAGCAUUAAAAUUCUAGCAUGGCACUACUUAAGCUUAGUGUUGUCCUAGCUAUCUUUCUCCUGGCGUCCACAAGUUAGUAUCCAUCUUUACUUGAUCUUAAUAUAUAUUGUAGUCUUAGUAUCCAUCUUUACUUGAUCUUAAUAUAUAUUGUAGUCUAUAUUAUUUUCGUUGUUACUAUGUAUAUAUGACUAUAUGUGUGUGUGAAUCGAAUAAUCACUAUGCAUGAUAAUUGAAUGUUCUAUUUUUCAUGUUAUACCCCUCAUAAUUGGAUUUUGAUAACCAUGAUGAUGAAAUAUUUCAGUUAAUUCAAAUACGCAACUCGUGGCUGCACGGGAUGUUGAUCGUGAUCUCACAGAAGUUAAGAGACGACUACUCCCACAACUUAAUACUUGCUUUAGAGCUUGUACUUCAAUUGAUGAAUGCCGUGUCGAUUGUUGGACUUGUUGUAUCUGCACAUCGAUUUUGGGUUCCUCUAAAUUCUGUUACAUGUGAUAAUAUGGCCAAUAUAUUGCAACGAACUCUUGCUACAGGAACAAUAAAUUUGAAUAAAAAGGCUGCAGGCCUUGCUGGCUUUUCAAUUUAGUACUUGAAUAAUGUGUGAUAUUUAUUUAUGAAUGUACCGCAUGUGGAAUCUAUUAUCUAGGUUCCUUUGUCUUGUUUGUACCAGUAAUAAUAUUUAUAAUUCUGCACCUUUUACCUUUCUCUAAUGCAAUAUUUCUUUCUAAAUAUUUA